AGUAGCUGAACCGCACAGUACCUUCUCUCCUCCUCUACCGAACCGACUGCCGUCUCUCUCGCUCGCGCUGCAUUCAGGGUCGCUCGGACAUCUCGCUCUCCCCCUCUCUCCCACACACACACACGCUGAUCUCUCUCCCUCUCUCUCAUGACGGAGCCACACACUCAUGACAACGGCGUAAUCUUUGAAAUGCGCUGGCGAGAACCCUGAUCUGUCAAAAUAACAGCGUAGCGGCCAAUGAUGUAUAUAUAUUGCUAGACCGCUCACUGGCCGCUGAGAGACGGCAAAUAGGAGCUGACUUCCGGUAGUGGCAAGAAGUGGUUUCAGAGUGGAACGGCAGCACGGUGGAUGUGGCUAAUAUCUGACCAUGGUGAAAUCGUGUGCUGCCAUCUCCUGCACCAAUCGAUUUGUGUGUGGCUGUAAUAUUUCCUUUCAUAAGUUUCCCAAGCAGUCCAAGGACAGCACACUGAGAGAUCAAUGGAUACAGGCCAUCAGUAGAGAAGCGGUGGGGACCAAGAGGAGAUGGAUCAUAAUUAUGUAUGCAGCAACCAUUUCAGGGAGGAGGACUUCAUCCUUUCAAAACAUGCGCAACACAAGCUUCUCAGGCCAGGGGCUAUACCGGUAUACCUCAGUUUGGGGAAACCAGAGAAAAAGGUUAUGUUCCUUAAUUGUUAAUGGUUGCUCAUUAUUUCAAUUUAGUACUUUUCUUUUCUUGUCAAUUUGUGUGGCUAUGAAAAUGAUUCAGGAUCGGUUUUUGGCUUUCAUAGUGAUUUGCAGCCAGUCACUGUGAUAAUGUUUUCUUUCGGGUAUUGGUGAAACAGAAACAAAUCUUUUGGGAAUUUGCCAUGUUAAUUCUUUUAUCAAAUGUUUUAGAUCACAGUGAGGACAACCCAAACCAGACAGGCAGCAGUGGCAUUUGACCAGCACAUCGACAUAGAGUACUUUACUAAAACAGUUCUAUUUAGAAGUCAGUGACUUCCCAAUAUCCUUAGUAUUUCCAGCAAUGCCUAUAAAUUCCUGUAUUUUGUGCAAAAACUCCUAUAUAUUUUGAAGCCUUUUGACGCACUGAAAAUUAGUAAUUUGUUCACUUUGUGAAAAUUAUGUGGAAAAGUACACUUUUGGUGAGAUUUUUAAAAAGCCAUGCAUUUCAUAUCGUCAAAUUGCUUUUCUCGAAACAAUUUUGGCACACUAUUUCUGGGAAAAUAGGCUAACUUCAUAUGUUUCAAACUGAACCAUUUUGUUUUUGCCCUAAAGUUGGGGUUUUAUAGCAAAUUGUUCAUGGAAUUUUAUUGUGAAAUAUAUAUUUCCUACAAUACUCCUAUAUUUUCUCAGAGAAGACUUUUAUAUUGUCAUAUUUCUAUCUGUCAAGUGCACUUGAUACCCUGUAAAUAUUUUAUUGGAACAUGGAUAUUUCCAAAUGAACCUACAAGUGGUGUAGCUAUUGUAAUGCAAUUUAGCAACACAAACUUUUGUCUGGGUGGUGUAUUUUAUAUUUUUUGUU